UAAAAGCCUACCAAGCCUAAGAUCCUUAGCUGUUCUGAGAGGUUGAACAGCCACACUGGGACUGAGACAAGGCCCAGGCUCCAUUUGGAGCCAGCAGUGAGGAAUUUUGGACAAUGAGCGAAAGCUUGAUCCAGCAAUACUACAUGAGUGAAGAAGGCUUUCAAGUUGUAACACUCUUUGGUUGAGGAGGAUAAUGACAGUACUCAACAAAAUAGCCCCGGCUAACUUCGUGCCAGCAGCCGCGGUAAGACGAAGGGGGCGAGCGUUAUCCGGAAUGACUGGGCGUAAAGGGUCCGUAGGCAGCAUUUUUUGUUGGAAGUUAAAUAAAAAAGCUUAACUUUUUUCCGCUUCUAAAACGUAAAUGCUUUGAGUUUGAUAGAAGAUAGCAGGAUUUCACAAGGAGGGGUGAUAUCCAGAGAUCUGUGAAGGAAUAUCAGAUGCGAAGGCGGCUAUCUAGAUCAACACUGACGUUGAGGGACGAAAGCAUGGGGAGCAAACAGGAUUAGAUACCCUGGUAGUCCAUGCCCUAAAAGAUGAGUGUUCGUGCUUAGAGAACUUUAGGCACUUAGUUAACACGUUAAACACUCCGCCUGGGGAGUACGAUCGCAAGGUUGGAACUCAAAGGAAUUGACGGGGGCCUAUACAAGUGGUGGAGCAUGUGGUUUAAUGCGAUAAUACGCGCGAAACCUUACCAGUUCUUGACAUAAAAAAGAAAAAGUUUGAAAAAGCAAUUUUAAAGAUUUUUACAGGUGCUGCAUGGCUGUCGUAAGCUCGUGUCGUGAGAUGUUAGGUUAACUCCUUUUAACGGGCGAAACCCCUUUUUUUCGUUGCUACUUAAUUUUAUUUUUAAAGCACUCUAAAAAAACUGCUCCCUUUUUUUAAUUCGGAGAGGAAGGUGGGGAUGACGUCAAGUCCUUAUGGCCCUUAUGAACUGGGCUACACACGUGCUACAAUGGUAAAGACAAUAAGAAGUGAUAGGGUAACCUAAAACCAAUCUUUAAACUUUAUCAAAGUUCGGAUUGUGGACUGCAACUCGUCCAUAUGAAGGUGGAAUCACUAGUAAUCGCACAUCAGCAUGUUGCGGUGAAUUUGUACCUAGGCCUUGUACACACCGCCCGUCACGUGCCGGGAGUUGGC
rnacentral:rRNA from 1 species